rnacentral:lncRNA from 1 species
CAGAAAUAUUAAUGCCAAUUCACCUGUUGAUUUAUCUCAGAAAAGACCUUGGCAAUGCAUCUCCGAUAUCAUCAAUUGAAAAACUUAAAUAGAUGAUCUUUGUGUAGUGGUAGCAUCUGUCUAUAUCAAUAACGUAUGCUUCUGGUCACUUGUUUAAGAAAGCCUAAAAUUCUAUACAAUGCUAAGAAAUGAAUUGAAACUUUUGCUUUUGAUUCACUUUGUAAAUAUACUUGCUGUGAAGUACUUAUUACUUGGGAUCUAUUGUUAGUGACAGUAGAGAAAAGAUGACACUACUGCUUUCCUUACCUAAUUCUAGUAAGGAAGAAUGCAGUCUUUGUCUUAAAAAAAAUAUAUUUUUUAACACAAAAUAUUUCAAACACAUAAAAGUAUAAAGAAUCAUAUGAAAUAUAAGGAUCCAGAACCCAGGUUCAAAAAAUUUUAAUUAUUUGGAAUAUUUGUUUCUGAAUAUGUUUCUAUCCUUUAUUAUUCCAUCCUAAGUUACUUACAGUGUGACAAACUAAAUGUGUAGACUGAUGAGUUUAAGAUAAUGCCUAUGUGACAAUACCAAACCCAAGAUAUAGAACAUUUAUAAUACCUAGGAAGAGUCCUUGUGCUCUCUUCUACUUGAUAUUCUCCAAAGCUUUAUCAAAAAGUUUAAAACAAGCAAAACUAUUCUGAUCUCUAUUAUCAUGAGUUAGUUUUAUGUAAGUUACAUGCUAUACUUAUAUUACUAAAAUUAAUUUAUUGAUUCUCUCAUUGUUG